rnacentral:ncRNA from 1 species
CUCUAAUAUCAAUCUAGAUUAUUUAUUUUAUGGAAUAAAUACAAUGAAAUAUUAGAUAUUAAAGAGGUUUAUUCCUUCCUAAUUUAGGUAAAAAUGUAUCAGCAAAUUAUGUAUUAGUAGUUAUUAUGAAAAUAUGUAAUUUAGC